GUCUCUUCAAAGAUUUCUGAUAAAUUGGAACGAUAUAGAGAAGAUUAGCAUGGCCUUUGCACAUGCAAGAAUGACACGUGCAAAUCGAGAAAUGGUCCAAAAACAA